AGAGUUUGAUCAUGGCUCAGGACGAACGCUGGCGGCGUGCUUAACACAUGCAAGUCGAACGGUGAUCUUGGGUGCUUGCACCUGGGUGAUCAGUGGCGAACGGGUGAGUAACACGUGAGUAACCUGCCCCAGACUCUGGAAUAACCCCGGGAAACCGGAGCUAAUACCGGAUAUGAAGUGGAGCCGCAUGGCUACUGCUUGGAAAGUUUUUCGGUCUGGGAUGGACUCGCGGCCUAUCAGCUUGUUGGUGAGGUAAUGGCUCACCAAGGCGACGACGGGUAGCCGGCCUGAGAGGGCGACCGGCCACACUGGGACUGAGACACGGCCCAGACUCCUACGGGAGGCAGCAGUGGGGAAUAUUGCACAAUGGGCGAAAGCCUGAUGCAGCGACGCCGCGUGAGGGAUGAAGGCCUUCGGGUUGUAAACCUCUUUCAGCAGGGAAGAAGCGAAAGUGACGGUACCUGCAGAAGAAGCACCGGCUAACUACGUGCCAGCAGCCGCGGUAAUACGUAGGGUGCGAGCGUUGUCCGGAAUUAUUGGGCGUAAAGAGCUUGUAGGCGGUUUGUCGCGUCUGCCGUGAAAAUCCGGGGCUCAACCCCGGACUUGCGGUGGGUACGGGCAGACUAGAGUGUGGUAGGGGAGACUGGAAUUCCUGGUGUAGCGGUGAAAUGCGCAGAUAUCAGGAGGAACACCGAUGGCGAAGGCAGGUCUCUGGGCCACUACUGACGCUGAGAAGCGAAAGCGUGGGGAGCGAACAGGAUUAGAUACCCUGGUAGUCCACGCCGUAAACGUUGGGAACUAGGUGUGGGUCUCAUUCCACGAGAUCUGUGCCGCAGCUAACGCAUUAAGUUCCCCGCCUGGGGAGUACGGCCGCAAGGCUAAAACUCAAAGGAAUUGACGG
rnacentral:rRNA from 1 species